GACGAACGCUGGCGGCGUGCCUAAUACAUGCAAGUCGAGCGAAGCGGCGGAUGAGUAAGUAACGCGAGGGUAACCUUCCCUUAAGUCUUGGAAACCAAUUGGAAACAGAUGCUAAUAACGGAUACUAAAGGAUGGACCUGAGCUGCAUUAGCUAGUUGGGAAGGGAACGGCUUACCAAGGCGAUGAUGAAUAGCCGAGUUGAGAGACUGAUCGGCCACAUUGGGACUGAGACACGGCCCAAACUCCUACGGUAGGCAGCAGUAGGGAAUCUUCCACAAUGGACGAAAGUCUGAUGGAGCAACGCCGCGUGAGUGAAGAAGGUUUUCGGAUCGUAAAGCUCUGUUGUUGGUGAAGCGGUAAUCAACCAGAAAGUCACGGCUAACUACGUGCCAGCAGCCGCGGUAAUUC
rnacentral:rRNA from 1 species